GACGGAGGGUGCUAGCGUUGUUCGGAAUCACUGGGCGUAAAGGGCGCGUAGGCGGCCUUGCAAGUCGGUUGGUGAAAGCCCGGGGCUCAACCCCGGAGGUGCGGCCGAGACUGCAGGGCUGGAGGCCGGAAGAGGAGGGUGGAAUACCCAGUGUAGAGGUGAAAUUCGUAGAUAUUGGGUGGAACACCGGUGGCGAAAGCGGCUCCUGGACCAGUACCGACGUUCAGGCACGAAAGCGUGGGGAGCAAA
rnacentral:rRNA from 1 species